GGGGGGAGCGCCGGAUCUUGGGCUGUGUCCCGGCGCCCUGUGCUCCCGGGCCUAUGCUGUUGGAUUUGCGCUACCAGCCAUGCAGCCCCUC
rnacentral:pre_miRNA from 1 species